rnacentral:lncRNA from 1 species
GCAAGGAGUUUGUCUAUUGUGCUCCCUGAUAUGUCUCUGGCAUCAAGAUCUAUGCCUGCCACAAAGUAGGGGCUUAAGUAUUAAUUGUGGAAUGAAUGAAUAAACAUGUGCAUAGACAACCAUUAUCGAACACAGAAUGUGUAAUUGCUAUACAAGACAUUUAAAAAAUGCUGUGGGUAUGGAGAGAGAUUACUUCUAACUAGAGAGACCAAGAAAUGCUCAUCCCUGGGAAGCCUCUGAUCCGUAUCUCAUGGAAUGGAAUGCUGACAGCGCAGUGGCUAAAAGCUCAGGCUCUCUGUCAGAUGUACCUAUAUCCAAAUCCUCACCCUGCCACUGACAAAUGUGGGGACUUUGGUGUCUCCUUAAUUUGGCCUUGAAUAGUUUUCUUAUCUUAUAGGGUUGUUGUAUCACUCAAGGUUUGAUCAAGAAGCAGAACUGCUUUGUAUGAUAAAACCUAAGGGACUCAUUGGGGUUAGACCUCCCUGCAAUUGUGGAAGCCAGUGGGGAAAUCUCUGCAGGCUGUUGGCUCUGCACCUAUGUUGAGCCUGAAACAUGUGGUCUUUGGAUCUGCCAGACUGGCAAAUGGAGAUGAAAGCUGGAAAUAAUUGAGAGCAAGAGCAAAUAGGAGUCUACAUUGAUGAAUUGAAGCCCCAUAAAUUCAACUGGAUCCCACAAGACAAAUGGGAGCCUGCAUCUUUCUCUAGCCACCUCCAGCCUCCAUGCUGUGGGCCACUUGCUGGAGAUGCUGGUACCUUUCAGCACAGAGCUGCACGUACACCCACUCCAGGCCUUGGAGAGGUGUAAGGAGCAGAUCUUUGGGGAAUUGGAGGAGCGGUCAGUUGAAAUGCUGAGCCACACCUACCAGGUGAGCUGGUCGAUUAGCCUCAUCAUGCACAAUCCACCACAGUGCCUGGGACCUGCAUUAACACUCAGGAUGCAGGAAAGAUGGCUGCUGGGUCAUGUCUACAUCUCAUGUCAAAUAUCUCUUGUGGCAAGUACUAACCCAGAACCAUACAAGGAAAGGAAUCUGGAGAAACAUAGUUCCGGCUUAGCUAAGUGGACACACCACAUUUGUAAGAAUUUCUACUUAUAAUAUUUACAUUACAAGUAAUCACUCCAUAUAGAAUAUUAAUAGUCAUUGGACAACAAAAAAAUCCUCUUGGAUUACAUUUUUCAUGAUUUGACAGCAAACAGUUUUAAAGACAUUUUAGCCACAUCUCUUUAAAAUUUGCAAUUCACUGAAUCCCUCAAACAUUAUUUGUGUUUGAGUAUCUUAUUUCAUAUUAUAGCACCUACAGACACCACUGAAAGACGAAUGAAGGAAUUGUGAAAUAUUUUAAACUAAGUAGGCUUAUUGCAUUGUCGUGGGCUAAGGAAGCAUGUCACUCUACCCUCCAUUCCUGGAGAAAAACUCCAGUUGCUUUAGGGAGGUAGACUGAGUGACUUUUUGGAGAACCUUGGCUGCCUGACCUUCCACCCAAGGUCCUGCAAUACUAUGCUAUGACUUAUUUCCUUUAAAACUCUACUUUUGUUUAUGAAAGUUCAUUUCUCAUCAACUAUCUUUACCCUUUUUUCCCUACUAUGACCUCAGACCCUCUUCUCCCUCUGAGAUUAUUUCCUCUAUCUCUCUCACUCAUCAAGCUAAUGGACCAAAAAGAAGAAGAAGAAAAAAAAACUUUCUUCGAAAGCCACUUCUUCUUUGGAGCCCUUGAGUGAUGAGUUUUUAAUGAUCUAUCACUUUCUUCUUGGUAAAACGAGCUGGGGUCAGAGUCAUCUGCCCAUAAGAAGAAAAGUGGGACUUCAAAAGACCAUCUUACCUUUAGAAACACAUAGUCCUCCUGUCUGAUUCGCAUUCCCGUUUCCAAUUAUUUCUUUUUCUUUUUCCUUCAUGUCACAUAACAAAGUAUGAUUAUACUUAUAAUGUUGCACCUCACAUGCUUGACUGUGUUUUCUGUUCUUUUCACAUAUUAUUUUAAAAUACCUUUAGACAUGCAUCUUGCUAGCAUAGAAGUAGGCACAUAGAUGGAUGAACAAAUGGAUUGAUAAAUGGAUGGAUGGAUAGAUAGACAAAUAUAUUGAAUAUCAGACAGGAAAGAGGCUAUUUGAAAUUAUUUACUUAUUAUUCCUUUUGGACACCAAUGAUUCUAUUUUUUUCAAAUUUAGAAAGCUCUGUCUACUAAAAACUUUUAUCUAUUCAUUAUAAUUUUUUGGAGCUUUAUCAGUAGAUACAUUGAAAUUAUAAUCUUCAGAAGGUUCUAUAAGUUGAAAAUUCUGAAUUAUUUAUCACUGAUAGUUCAAACCCCUUUCUAUAUAUAGGAAACUGAGGUUUUAUGAGUAUAAGUGAUAUGCUUAAUCACAGCAACAAUACUUGAACCUAAACUUUCUAAAUCCUAUUACUUUCUACUCUGCCACAUGGAGAAAUAUAUGGCCUAAGCAACUUGCAUGCAAAAUAGUCUCAUUUGAUCAAACACCAUUUAAGUGUUAAUGCUGGAAUACAAAUGAUGUGAUUAGUGGGUUGGUAGAUUUAUUUCUUCAUAUGUACCAAAUCAUAUUACACCUAAAAGAUUAUGACCUUAUAGUUAAAUCACAGCUUGAGGCUGGACAUUUAAGACUGGAGGCUUUUAAUGAAUUAUUGUUAAUAUUUUUAGAUGUGAUAAUGGUAUUGUGGUUAUAUUUUUUAAAGUUCUCUUUUAGAAAUACAUAUUGAAAUGUUUGUAGUUGAAGCGAUCUGAUAUCUUGGAUUUACUUCAAAAUAACAUUGUGUUGGGCUGGAAAUAGAUGAAAUAGAACUAGCUUUAUGUGAUAUUUACUGAAAUUGGGUGAUGCAUACAUGAGGGCUUAUUAUACUCUUCCCACUACUUCUAUUAAUGUUCUAGUUUUUCCAUAACGAAAAGUUAACUUUAACAAACACUGCCACUAGAGCAUUAAGGUGAUGAGUUUAGGCUCUGGUGUCAGAUGGGCCAGAUUUGAAUUUCGGAUCUGCCAAUUACCGGUACUCCAUCUAUAGAAUGGGUGUAAAGUACCUACCUUCCAGAGUUGUAAAAAUUAAAUGAAAUAAUACACGUAAGUCCCUUAGAAUAGCCCCUAGCACAUUCGUAAUCACUCAAAUUUUACCUAAUAUGUAAUGACUGUUAUUGUCAUUGAUGCCUUAUCUCCAUGGUUUUCUGUUUCCUAGAAUCCUUAUCUACUGCAAUGUUUAAAAAAAAUAAGUAUUAAAUUAAAGACGUGAAUACCAUUAUCCUAGGUUUUGAGAUAGAAAAAAUGCUCACUAAAGUUUUCAAAUGCCAUGCAGCAAGGAAGUCAAAAGGUUAAACUGUAGAACGUAGAACGGAAAAGGCAAGAAAUGCUCUUGACUAUAAAGAUGAACCGUUACCCAAAUCAAAGCAAUCCCUUUUCCUCCGUUCAGCUGAGAAGUGGGUGCCAUGGCUGGGUUUGAACUGGGGCUGGACAGUGGCUGGGUUUGAACUGGGGCUGGACAAUGUGCUGUCUGUCACAGCCAGUAGAUUUUGUUUAUUGCGAAAGGAAUUGCUCAGUGUUGACUCCCCUUGGCUCCACUUCUUGUUUUGUGCUCCUCCUCCUUCAGGUCUCCUUCCACCUCUGAGCUUCUCUUUCUUCCUUUGGGGAGGAGUGACAUGAUUAGAGUAAUGGGUAGACCAGAAGGAUUCACCGACAAGGGCUGUGCUGGACAAUGGGAAAGCUGUAGGGAAGUAUGCCUCUUACCAGAAUUAAGGGUCUAGCACUUUAUUCAUAAUAUAGACCAUUUGCAAAUAAAAAGGUCAAGAUUCACUGCUUUGCAGAAGACAUUUCUGGGGGUCAUCAGAAAUUUACCAGUGCCCAUAUUAAACACUAUUAUGUGUAUAGAUGUGAAAACAAGUCCUGGUGUUGUUAAUUCACAUACAAAUUGGCAAAUACAAAUGGAUCAAUAAUUCUGUGAAUAGAGGCGCAAGUCUUUAUUAUAUUAUAUGACUCUGUACACCACCUGCAGCACCACUGGCCAUCACCCCAUCCCACAUUGCUACUAGUUUAACCUGUAUUCCUACCACGUCCAUCCCCAACCCUCUGUGCUCCGGGGAAAAAUGCCUCUAUCUCAAGGUCUUUGUGCUGGCUUUCCUCUACCUCAAAAGCUGCGCUCACGGGUAACUCUAUGCCUUGCUUCCUUACUUCCUUUUGGUGUUUGAUCAAAUAUUACCCUCUUGGCAUGGCCUCCCCUGCCAACUGAUUGAUACCGUCAAGCACCGCCUGACUCUUCAUUCUUCAUCCCUUUUCUCUGUUUUACUACUCUACCUAACCUUCAUCAUUUUUAAAUACUCUAUGUAAUUCCUUUAGUUAGUUAAUUAUCAAUCUCCCUCUUCUCCAUGAGGACCUGUAUUUAGUCUUUAAAAGAUUCCAAUGCCUAGAACAUUGCCUGGCAUAUAGUCAGUAUUAAAUAAACACUUAAUUGAAUGAAUGAUAAGUGAAUGGAUGGAUGGAUGGAUGGAUGGAUGGAUGGAUGGAUGGAUGGACGGACGGAUGAAUGGAUGGACAGACGGAUGGAUGGACAGAUGGAUGGUUGGAUGGAUGGAUGAAUGGACAAGGUAAAUAAGUACUAAAAGAAAUACAAAACUUGUAAUUGCAAGGUGUAGUUCAAUCCUUUUUAAGUGGCAAAGGCCAGUUCCCUCUCCUGAUGACCUGGGGUCUGUCUGCUGAGUCUAGCUGUCUCUCUGAGGAUUGGAUUUACCCGAGACAGAGGCAGCAGCAACACACGUACUCUUUCUGGGAGAAAGCAACCAUGUGACCUUCUCCCACAGGCCACAGGAUAAGGUCGUCUUCUCAACGCAGUGAGCCCCACUUUUAUGUGAAAGACUCGCAGGUGAGGCGAGGGCUGGGAUUUGUUAUAGAGUCCCAGAUCUCAUCCAUAGAGAGUUUGAAGGUUGGGACUUGAAUUUAGUGCCUUGGUCAGUUAUUAAAUAUCUUAGAAAAAGGCUUAUCUAAAAUAACAAAACAUCCAUUUAAAAUACUUUAUAACACACAUUCAAAAGAAGACAAUUUUGUCAUUCUAAGUACACAUAAGCUCUUGAAGCCAUUAGCAAAGUAUUACCUAUAUCAGGAACUCCUAGCUUUAUUUCCUUAAAUACAUUAAGUUCAUUUUUUUGUGAAGCAUUUAUUUGCAUAAAUUGCUUAAAUUGACUUUCAGGAAGAAAAAAAACUAUACUUUCUUAAGAAUCUUGAAAAAAUUCUUAAUUAUGUAGCCACUAAAUGAUGUAUAGACUUAUUUAGAAAACGUUUUCUUCUUGAGGAGCAGGGAGUGGGUUGCGGCCCAAUCCAUUUUGGCCUCACUCUGGAACUCCCUUCAGUGCUGGGUCCCCCAGGUCAAUGUAAUUGUCGUCUAUUAGGUAUUUCAGGCCAGGUGCGGUGGCUCAGGCCUGUAACCCCAGCAUUGUUUUGAGAUGGGCAAAUCACCUGAGGUCAGGAGUUUGAGACUAGCCUGGCCGACAUGGUGAAACCCCAACUCUACUAAAAAUAUAAAAAUUCACUUUGGGAGGCUGAGACAGGGGUUCAUGAAGUUAAGAGAUUGAGACCAUCCUGCCCAACAUGGUGAAAUGCCAUCUUUACUGAAAAUACAAAAAUUAGCUGGGCAUGGUGGCACGCACCUGUAGUCCAACUACUCGGGAGGCUGAGGCAGAAGAAUCACUUGAACCCGGGAGGUGGAGGUUGCAGUGAGCUGAGAUUGCACCACUGCACUCCAGCCUGGGAGACAGAGUGAGACUCUGUCUCAAAAAAAAAAAUUAUAUAUAUAUAAAUAUAUAAAUUAUUUAUAUAUUUAUAUUAAAAAUAUAUAUAUAAAUUAGUACCUGCUUGGUGACACAUGCCUGUAAUCCCAGCUACUCAGAAGGCUGAGGCACAAGAAUCACUUGAACCUAGGAGCCAGAGGUACAAUGAGCUGAGAUUGCGCCACUGCACUCUAGCCUGGGUGACAGAGCGAGACUCUGUCUAAAAAAAAUAAAAAAUAAAAAAAAGAUAAUUCAGUGGUUUCUACAGAGUAAAGUUCUGCAUAUAAAGUAUAUGACAGAAGCAGAGUGUUCUCCUUGAACUUCUUG